rnacentral:rRNA from 1 species
GACGAGCCACCCGAACGUUAUUCGGAAUUACUGGGCUUAAAGGGUGCGUAGGCGGUGCAGCAAGUCGGGAGUGAAAUACCUCAGCUCAACUGAGGAACUGCUCUCGAUACUGCUGUGCUUGAGUGAGACAGAGGUAAGCGGAACAUCGGGUGGAGCGGUGAAAUGCGUUGAUAUCCGAUGGAACACCGGUGGCGAAGGCGGCUUACUGGGUCUCUACUGACGCUGAGGCACAAAAGCUAGGGUAGCAAACGGG